AAAAACCACUUCCCUGUUUGUUCUUCCAGCCCAGAAAUAGGAACACAAACAGAACAUAGUGCCCCCAGCGGCACGCACACGGCUCCGGUCACCGACCCCGCGCCGGGGACCCGUCCCGGCCCCGUGCCAGCGCCUGUGCCCGCUGGCUGACACCGAGCCGUGGGGCUGUGCUCCCGGCGCAUCCCCUCUGCGAUCCCCUCCGCCUUAAACCUGUUUUUUCCUCCAUCUAGAACACCAGACAGUUGUUAGAAAGCGUAAGAAAAAGGGUGGAGGGCUGGAACGUCCCAGUGUGCACCCCGUGGGAGUGUUGUCCUUGUCCCACUGCCUUUUCCCAUGAAGAAAUUCUGGAGCCAAGUGCUGCCACGGGAGGCUCUGAGAGAGCAGCAGCACCCCCCAAAUUGGCACAGCCCCAAUUUCAUAGUAACAGAAGAACAAACUUUAGGACCAAAGGACGCACAGCAGCAGGGCCAACAAGACCCGCAGCAAAUCAUGGUACUCAGCCCCUACAUCUGGGAGGAAGCUCUUCCUAACAUCCCUGGUAGCCCUGCAAAGUGUAAAUGCUAAAGGGCAGGAUUCUGGUACCUAGAACAACCAUCUGGGGAGCAGGAGCCUGUCCCUGCCUGCCGGGGCUCGUCUGUCCCUCACCUCCUCUACAGGCAGCUGCCAGCCCCAGCUUUCCAGCAAAAGCUCAGGUGCCCAGGUGAGGAGCAAGCCAUCCCUCCUCUCCUCCAUACAAACUCUGCUGUCUUGGCUCCCCAGGGCAAAAUUUAAUCUCAUUUCAAUUUAAAACAAAACAAGCCCUCGUUUACUUCCUGUGCUUUGCCUUUCUCCACAUCUACAAGGGGAUUUUUUUGCUUUACUACUCACAUUCAUAACUUUACAUGCCUCUUCUGACUCGUUACCUUCUAAUUUUCUAUUUUAUCUUUGGCAAGCCCAGACAGAGCACAGGUAAUCAGAAAGGUUACUGAGGGCACUGAGGCCACCCCUGCCUUCGUGGGGGAAGGUGCAGGCAGGGACACAGGACAUGAGAAGGGACACCGGGCACAGCUCCAUGGCCACAGCCGGCUGCCCCAUCCUCCAGGUCAGGUCUCUUGAGUAUCAAAAACUCUGAGGAAAUCAACAGGAGCCACAGACACUCCAAUCUUCGUGAAAGAUGAAAACCCACAGAAAGGUAAAGACCAGACCUGAUCUGAAGGACCACCCACCCACCAACUUUCAGAACUUGGGUGUCAAACACUUCAGCAGCCAUCAAUAUUUUAAAAGAAUUGCAUCUCCUUGCCUACAGACCCCCUAACGUGUACCCUCCAUCCUUUGCUCCAAGCCUACACUUUUGAACAUCAGCCUCAAUUUUCCUAAGAAAAACAAAUUUAACCUUCGAUUUAACCUUUCUGCAAGCUAUUUUUACUCCUAUCUCAAGCUUAUUUUAACCCCAGUAGCCAAUAAAUGCUUAAAGGUCAAAAACCAUUCCUGAAAGCCGGGCUCCUUACCCCUGGGGAGAAGGCUGAGAUCAGAUAAUUUUUUUUCCCUCCAAGCAAAAUCUCCUCUUAGAAAUGUCCAAGCGGUCGGAGGGUCCCUGCUCAACCAAUUUUCACUGUGGGGGCUCAGAAGGCACUGAGAAUUUUCCCUGUGAAUGCCAUAGCAUCCUUCUCUUCCCACUCAAAAAGCGCUCGAAAUGUAUAGACCUCUGCCAUUUUUUAUUUGAGUGAUGGCCAGAGUUAUAAAGGAUAAGCCACCACAAAACAAAAUUUUCUCAGAGUACUUUUCUGCUACAAACUUUUGGAAAUAUCAAAAGAAACCAAGUUUGUGUGAAGCUGGUGUCCCACGAGGAAGAACCAGGCUGGGUACACCCAUAGUCACCAAUGUGGUGACUCCAGGACAUGAUGAAUCUGAGUAAUGGAGCUGAUGUGUGAGGACACAACCAAAGUUACUGUGCCAAGGUCUGUCUAUACUGCCCAAAUGUCCCUUUUCCUGCUGUCAUGAUGUGCAGCAAGCUGCAGAUCCUACAGAGCACAAGGCCAGGAAUGUUCCCAGGAAAGCUGAAGCCAUGGCCAAGUAAGAGGCUUGGAGUAUGUGCCAAAGUGGAUGUUGCUGUGAUUCCAGGUAAAAUAUUGUGUAUAAAACAUUAGAGGUGGGGAGAUGAGUGAAUCACUUGGCUGGAGUGGAUUGGGACCUACAAAAAUCCUAUUAGGUUGUCUUCAGUGUCCAGGUACCCUCAAAAAAGUUGUUUCUAAAUUGUUAAUAUGAAUUUCAGGAUUUUUAUAAGUACAAACUAUGUAGUUUCUGUAGAAACUGCAGUUUCUGUAGUUUCUGUGUUCUUUGUAGAUUCUUUGGCAAGAGUGAAAUACAAGAGCAGAGAGCACUGAAACUGGUGGUAACAGGUGUGGAAGGAAGUGACCACCAGCACACUCAGGAGCUCCUGUAUUUCCCUGGUCCAGCCCAUCAUAAACCUUAAACACAGUUAGAAGCAUCCCAGAUGCCCUGUACUUAAACCAAACUUUGUUUCCAACAAAAAACUCCCAGAGCUUUCAGCCUUAACUCCUAAGCCAAACCCAUAUUACAACAGCUAAAAUGUCAGAGCUAAUUAAGAAGAGGAAGCCAUGCAUAAAGCAGCCAAGAUGUGCAUCUGCCACCAAGGAGAAACCCCAUUCCUGCAGCGUGUGCCAGGAGCCAGCAUGCACACCAAGUCCUCCCAGAGGCUGAGAGCUGGCUGGCAGCUUGGUCAGCCCUCAAUGACAUGCUGAAGUGCU